AUGGUUGUGAUUUAGUGGUAAAAUUUCGAAUUGUGGAUUCGAAUACCAUAGGUUCGAAUCCUAUCAACCAUC
rnacentral:tRNA from 1 species